GACGAACGCUGGCGGCGUGCUUAACACAUGCAAGUCGAACGGAAAGGCCCUGCUUUUGUGGGGUGCUCGAGUGGCGAACGGGUGAGUAACACGUGAGUAACCUGCCCUUGACUUUGGGAUAACUUCAGGAAACUGGGGCUAAUACCGGAUAGGGGCUCCUGCUGCAUGGUGGGGGUUGGAAAGUUUCGGCGGUUGGGGAUGGACUCGCGGCUUAUCAGCUUGUUGGUGGGGUAGUGGCUUACCAAGGCUUUGACGGGUAGCCGGCCUGAGAGGGUGACCGGCCACAUUGGGACUGAGAUACGGCCCAGACUCCUACGGGAGGCAGCAGUGGGGAAUAUUGCACAAUGGGCGGAAGCCUGAUGCAGCAACGCCGCGUGCGGGAUGACGGCCUUCGGGUUGUAAACCGCUUUCGCCUGUGACGAAGCGUGAGUGACGGUAAUGGGUAAAGAAGCACCGGCUAACUUCGUG
rnacentral:rRNA from 1 species